rnacentral:lncRNA from 1 species
UAACUUAGGCAGGAGCCUGAGUUCCAGAAGCAUGAGGGAAUUGAUGCAUUCCUUGUCAAGUGAAUUAUCACCCUCCCAGGGUUUAGACCUCAGCUCAACUGAAGACCAACCUGUCUGUGCAUAGCCCAAUGCCCCUCAUGAAUGUUGAGUUCUCCCCCAGAGCUGGGAGGGGUGAGAGUCCUCUUGGGGGACUGGCUCAAAUGCUAAUGUAGUGCAAACCACACCUGAGGUAUGGAAAAGGUGUGGCCCUGGACAUGAAGCACACUUUAACCUUGAGGAAGGGUGAGACCCACUGGCCAAUCAAGGUCUCCACAGGCAGACCUGCCAGUCAGACAAGGAGGCGGGAUCUUCCAGGUGCCUUUCCCCAAGUUCACUUUGGCUGUGCAGGCUUGAAUGGUUCUGUGUCCUGCUCUGAGCUCUGCUGUUGGGUGCUGUGAGAGGACCUCAGGGAAGCUCUGAAUUCGAGGCACGGUGAGCACAGGGUUACUGCCCACAGAGGGUAGGAGCAGGGUGCUGAGCAGUGGAAGCUGGGGUGGUGAGUCCUCUCUGGGGCUUGAUGGGAAGUAUAAGCCAUAUGUGAGCACCUGUGAGGUCUCUCGUGUUGCUCCUCACUUGCUCCAUCAGGGGUGACCUCUAAUAACUUGCCUAUCAUUGCCCAAAUCGUUUGGACCUUAGUUAAGCUGGCUUGUGAAAACAAGGGUGGUUUCUUUGAGUCUGUAGCACAGGUGUCCAAACCCCUUUGUCUUUUAGUAUACAUUACCAAAACAAGUAAAAAUCUAAUAGGUCUGAUUUCAUACAUUAUACUUGUUUUUGUUUUCUUAAUUUUUUUUUCUGUUGCAGUUUUUUCAUAUUUUUUUGCAUCACAUGUUUAAUGAGUUGAUUAUUAUUUGGGAAAGGGACUUUAAUAAUUUCAGAAUUUUUUUGUGGUUUUAUUGAAAAAUGAUAGACCUCUGAGCUGAUAUUCUUCUAUUCCAAUCGUUUGUAAUUUUCGCCUUCACAUAUUUUGCAGAAGUCACAGUUGUUUAUUGCCAUGAAACUUUUAGAAUCCACAUUUUUUAAAUGAGAUAUUAAUUUUUUCUCUUCAUCUUGAAUCCCUGAGAUUCUCUCUUCCUUUCCUGUUCUGUGGGUGAACCUUGCCUCUGUAGUUGUCAGUGUACAGGUAAUCUCAUGUCCUUCUCUUAGGGACUUAGCAACUGCUUAUGUCAUUUCCUGCCUCCAUCCCCUGUGUCUGUUGUCAGGCGUGCUUUAUAUACAUGGACCACCAGCUAUAGCAGCUCUCUAUUUUUGUUCCCUGUCUCUGUUCUCUGCACAUGCACACUCUCUGUCAUCUCUCUCCUCAUGGCUCUCUUUCUCCUCCGUCUGUGUGCCUGUCUGCAGGUCGUCUUGUGUACUUCUAUCCCUUCCCCAGGUUCUCACUCCUCUCCCUUCCCCCAAACAACCUCUUUUGCACUUUAUCUGUUGCAUGCUUUAAUUUCUCAGACCUGCUGUGAUGGCAUAGCUUUGAUUUCUUGGUUGCAAUUGUUCCUGGCUGUUACUCUCUAUGUUGCUAUGCUGGUGUGUAGCCAUCUCUGUUUGGGUGAUUAUUGACCUAGGUACUGGCCUCUGGGUUUAUCGUUUUGGGUGGGAGUUUUGUUCCUGGGUUACUGUUUGAUGCAUGGAUUUGAAGAGAGUGUUCACUGACAGUUUCCUAUUUUACUGACCUAUUUUGUGGGUAUGGUCAACAGGGGAUGCUUUGUGAUAUUAAAAUCUGGGAGAAGCAACAGGCAGGAACAGAAGAUCUUAGUAAUCCACAAGGAGACAUAGACAGGAGAGAGGUCAAGCAGCCCAUGGUAUUUAAUACAAUGUUGGAACAACUGGGAAAAUUGAAUCUGGGGUAAAUCAAUCAAUCAUGAAGUUGAUCUAUGGAAGCUUACCUUGUGUCCUUUCAGGCAUGGAAUGUGGUUGAACAGGGAGUAUCUGCCCAAGUCGGGGCUGAGACACAGGGAUGAGGCAGGAAUGGAUAGGCAAGUGGGCAUUGUCUAUGGUAUCUAUAGGAGGCUUGCACAGGAGGAGAGGAAAUUUCCACUGCUACUCUUUUCCAGUGUUAAGGGCAGCUGAUAUUAGGGUCUGCAGUAACAGAUAGUGAGGUAGGUCUUUGGACAAAGUCUAGUCUACAGACAGGCAUGGUUGUGGUUAACCAGGAGUUUCUGUCUAUAAUCAGGGGGUUAGGAACAGAGAUGAGUUUGUAAACCCAAACAGUUUGCUUUUUGAGAAUGUACAUUUGUACAUUCCAGCAAAAAUCCCAUGACAAAAUCCCCUUAUCAACAGCCAGUUAAGGUACAUCAGCAGGGUCAGCUACAUAGAGAUAACUAAGACCUCCUAUAGAAAACAAAAACAGAAACAGCUUACCCAUUAUGGUUGUCAGAUUUUUUUUUUUUGUCCUCCCUUGCUUGGUUCCUGCACAUUAUGCCAGACGAUUUGUAUGCAAACUCCCCACUCUUGUUGUAACUACAAUAAAUACUCAAAACCUCUAGACUUGAUCUCUCAGUUUGUACCUAAUGGGAGUUUGACUGCUGAGAGUCCUUGUUACUGAGCUCAUAAAAAAGGCCUCUGUGUGUUUGCAUUGCAAUCGGCUCUGUGCUGGUCAUUGCAGUUUCUGUGAGUUGGGCAUAAAACCUUGCUGCUUUGACUGGAACCCCAAGACCCUCAGGACUCCCAUCUGAAGGGUUGAAAGACCGCUGUUAGGAUGUGUCACUGCUGUUCUUUGUGUCAGUGACCUGUCUGUCAGAAAUGUGUCCGUGUGCAUGGAGCUUAAUCAGUUGUUCCCAUAGGGUCUGGACGAUUGGAGUGUUGACAGUAAUGCAGCCACACGAAGUUGAGGUCAUACUAUUUCAGUGGAGAAUAGACUGAAAAACUUUAGGAAGAGGUCAUUUCCGUGAUAUUUUGGCC